CUACGGAGGGUGCAAGCGUUAUCCGGAAUCAUUGGGUUUAAAGGGUCCGCAGGCGGUCAAUUAAGUCAGAGGUGAAAUCCCGUCGCUCAACGACGGAACUGCCUUUGAUACUGGUUGACUUGAGUUAUACGGAAGUAGAUAGAAUGUGUAGUGUAGCGGUGAAAUGCAUAGAUAUUACACAGAAUACCGAUUGCGAAGGCAGUCUACUACGUAUAUACUGACGCUCAUGGACGAAAGCGUGGGGAGCGAACAGGAUUAGAUACCCCAGUAGUCC
rnacentral:rRNA from 1 species